GACAGAGGAUGCAAGCGUUAUCCGGAAUGAUUGGGCGUAAAGCGUCUGUAGGUGGCUUUUUAAGUCCUCCGUCAAAUCCCAGGGCUCAACCCCGGACAGGCGGUGGAAACUGACAAGCUGGAGUACGGUAGGGGCAGAGGGAAUUUCCGGUGGAGCGGUGAAAUGCAUUGAGAUCGGAAAGAACACCAACGGCGAAAGCACUCUGCUGGGCCGACACUGACACUGAGAGACGAAAGCUAGGGGAGCAAAUGGG
rnacentral:rRNA from 1 species